rnacentral:rRNA from 1 species
GACGGAGGGCGCGAGCGUUGUUCGGAAUUACUGGGCGUAAAGCGCGCGCAGGUGGGUGCGCAAGUCGGAGGUGAAAGCGCAGGGCUCAACCCUGCGACGCCCUUCGAGACUGCGUGUCUAGGGACCGGUAGAGGUGAGUGGAAUUCCCGGUGUAGCGGUGGAAUGCGUAGAUAUCGGGAAGAACACCGGAGGCGAAGGCGGCUCACUGGGCCGGAUCCGACACUGAGGCGCGAAAGCGUGGGGAGCAAACAGGAUUAGAAACCCCCGUAGUCC